rnacentral:rRNA from 1 species
ACGGGUGAGUAAUGUCUGGGAAACUGCCUGAUGGAGGGGGAUAACUACUGGAAACGGUAGCUAAUACCGCAUAACGUCGCAAGACCAAAGUGGGGGACCUUCGGGCCUCACGCCAUCAGAUGUGCCCAGAUGGGAUUAGCUAGUAGGUGGGGUAACGGCUCACCUAGGCGACGAUCCCUAGCUGGUCUGAGAGGAUGACCAGCCACACUGGAACUGAGACACGGUCCAGACUCCUACGGGAGGCAGCAGUGGGGAAUAUUGCACAAUGGGCGCAAGCCUGAUGCAGCCAUGCCGCGUGUGUGAAGAAGGCCUUCGGGUUGUAAAGCACUUUCAGCGAGGAGGAAGGCAGCAAGGCUAAUAAGCUUGCUGAUUGACGUUACUCGCAGAAGAAGCACCGGCUAACUCCGUGCCAGCAGCCGCGGUAAUACGGAGGGUGCAAGCGUUAAUCGGAAUGACUGGGCGUAAAGCGCACGCAGGCGGUUUGUUAAGUUGGAUGUGAAAUCCCCGGGCUUAACCUGGGAACGGCAUUCAAAACUGGCAAGCUAGAGUCUCGUAGAGGGGGGUAGAAUUCCAGGUGU